UUGGAGGGCAAGUCUGGUGCCAGCAGCCGCGGUAAUUCCAGCUCCAAUAGCGUAUAUUAAAGUUGUUGCAGUUAAAAAGCUCGUAGUUGAAUUUCGGGGUUCUACCGUUGGUCGGGCUUUGUCUGUACUGGCGUGUAGAAUUUCUACCUUCUGGGGAACCAUCAUGUUAUUAGUUUAGCGUGGUGGGAAACCAGGACCUUUACCUUGAAAAAAUUAGAGUGUUUAAAGCAGGC
rnacentral:rRNA from 1 species